UACGGAGGGUGCGAGCGUUAAUCGGAAUUACUGGGCGUAAAGGGUGCGCAGGCGGUUAUAUAAGACAGAUGUGAAAUCCCGAGGCUUAACCUCGGAACUGCGUCUGAAACUACUCGACUAGAGUACUGGAGAGGGAAACGGAAUUCACGGUGUAGCAGUGAAAUGCGUAGAUAUCGUGAGGAACACCAGAGGCGAAGGCGGUUUCCUGGACAGUUACUGACGCUCAGGCACGAAAGCAUGGGGAGCAAAAGGG
rnacentral:rRNA from 1 species